rnacentral:rRNA from 1 species
UACGGAAGGCAGCAGUGGGGAAUAUUGCACAAUGGGCGCAAGCCUGAUGCAGCCAUGCCGCGUGUAUGAAGAAGGCCUUCGGGUUGUAAAGUACUUUCAGCGGGGAGGAAGGCGGUGGAGUUAAUAGCUUCACCGAUUGACGUUACCCGCAGAAGAAGCACCGGCUAACUCCGUGCCAGCAGCCGCGGUAAUACGGAGGGUGCAAGCGUUAAUCGGAAUUACUGGGCGUAAAGCGCACGCAGGCGGUCUGUCAAGUCGGAUGUGAAAUCCCCCGGGCUUAACCUGGGAACUGCAUUCGAAACUGGCAGGCUAGAGUCUUGUAGAGGGGGUAGAAUUCCAGGUGUAGCGGUGAAAUGCGUAGAGAUCUGGAGGAAUACCGGUGGCGAAGGCGGCCCCCUGGGACAAAGACUGACGCUCAGGGUGCGAAAGCGUGGGGAGCAAACAGGGAUUAGAUACC